rnacentral:rRNA from 1 species
CAUUAGUUUUUUAAUUGAAAGCUUGUAUGAAUGGUUUGAUGAGAAAAUUUCUGUCUCAAUUUAAAUUUAGAAUUUUAUUUUUAAGUAAAAAAGCUUAAAUAUUAAUAAAAGACGAGAAGACCCUAUAGAGUUUAAUUAUUUUUUAGAAAUUUAUUUUUUAAAAUUAAUUUUUAUGUUUUAAUUAAAUAAUUUAGUUGGGGUGAUUGAAAAAUUAAAUUAACUUUUAUUAUUGUUUUACAUAAAUUUAUGAAUUUUUGAUCCAUAACUUGAUUAUAAGAAUAAAUUACCUUAGGGAUAACAGCGUAAUUUUUUUUUAGAGUUCUUAUCGAAAUAAAAGAUUGCGACCUCGAUGUUGGAUUAAAGUUAAAAUUUGGUGUAGAAGCUGAAA